rnacentral:misc_RNA from 1 species
UGGCUCUCGCAUCGAUGAAGAACGCAGUGAAAUGCGAUAAGUAAUGUGAAUUGCAGAAUUCAGUGAAUCAUCGAAUCUUUGAACGCACCUUGCGCUCCUUGGUAUUCCGAGGAGCAUGCCUGUUUGAGUGUCGUGAAAUCAUCAACUCCCAAUCGCUUUUGUGAAAGGGAAGUUGGACUUGGAGACUGCUGGCCCGUUAGGGUACUGGCUUCUCUUGAAUGCAUUAGCUGAUAAAAGAUUUGCAGCAUAUAUGCGGUGUGAUAAUGUCUUCACUGUGUAGCUCAAGUCGCGAUUGGCUUCUAAUCGUCUUUUGAAGACAACUUUUGAUCAUUAGACCUCAAAUCAGGUAGGACUACCCGCUGA